rnacentral:rRNA from 1 species
GAUGAACGCUGGCGGCGUGCCUAAUACAUGCAAGUCGAGCGAACAGAUGAGGAGCUUGCUCCUCUGACGUUAGCGGCGGACGGGUGAGUAACACGUGGAUAACCUACCUAUAAGACUGGGAUAACUUCGGGAAACCGGAGCUAAUACCGGAUAAUAUAUUGAACCGCAUGGUUCAAUAGUGAAAGACGGUUUUGCUGUCACUUAUAGAUGGAUCCGCGCCGCAUUAGCUAGUUGGUAAGGUAACGGCUUACCAAGGCAACGAUGCGUAGCCGACCUGAGAGGGGGUCGGCCCACAAGGGAAUUGAGACCGGGCCCAGCCUCCGCGGGGGGGCGCAAGUAGGAAAUCUUCCGAAGAGGGCGAAGCCCUGAGGGGGCAACGCGGGGGGAGGAAUAAGGUUUUUCGCCUCUAAAAACUUUUUUAUGGGGGAAAAAAAAAUGUGAAAGUAAUUAUGCACGCCUGGACGGAACUUAAUAAAAAGGCCACGGCUAACUACGUC